UCACAAUGAACGCUGGCGGCGUGCUUACACAUGCAAGUCGAACGAGAAAUCUUUAGCUUGCUAGAGAAAGUAAAGUGGCGCACGGGUGAGUAACGCGUGGGUAAUCUGCCUCCGAAUCGGGGAUAACAUUGCGAAAGCGAUGCUAAUACCGGAUAAAAUCUGGUUGGCUUAGGUGAACCGGAUCAAAGGUGGUCUCUUUAUAAAAGCUACCGUUUGGAGAUGAGCUCGCGUACCAUUAGCUAGUUGGUGAGGUAAAGGCUCACCAAGGCGACGAUGGUUAGCUGGUCUGAGAGGAUGAUCAGCCACACCGGAACUGGAACACGGUCCGGACUCCUACGGGAGGCAGCAGUGAGGAAUUUUGCGCAAUGGGGGAAACCCUGACGCAGCAACGCCGCGUGAGUGAUGAAGGCUUUCGGGUCGUAAAGCUCUGUCAGGUGGGAAGAACCCACCAAGUGUUAAGACCACUUGGUGCUGACGGUACCACCGAAGGAAGCACCGGCUAACUCCGUGCCAGCAGCCGCGGUAAUACGGGGGGUGCGAGCGUUAUUCGGAAUCAUUGGGCGUAAAGGGCGCGCAGGCGGUUUUGUAAGUCAGAUGUGAAAUCCCGGGGCUUAACCCCGGAAGUGCAUAUGAAACUAUGAGACUUGAGUAUGGGAGAGGGAAGCGGAAUUCCUGGUGUAGCGGUGAAAUGCGUAGAUAUCAGGAGGAACACCGGUGGCGAAGGCGGCUUCCUGGACCAAUACUGACGCUGAGGCGCGAAGGCGUGGGGAGCGAACAGGAUUAGAUACCCUGGUAGCCCACGCAGUAAACGUUGAUCACUAGGUGUAGCGGGUAUUGACCCCUGACUGUGCCGGAGUUAACGCAUUAAGUGAUCCGCCUGGGGAGUACGAUCGCGAUAUUAAAACUCAAAGGAA
rnacentral:rRNA from 1 species